UGCCGCGUGUGUGAUGAAGGCCCUUCGGGUUGUAAAGCACUUUUAUCACGAGCGAAAUCUGCAAGGUUAAUACCUUUGCAGUCUGACUGUACCUGAGGAAUAAGCACCGGCUAACUCCGUGCCAGCAGCCGCGGUAAUACGGAGGGUGCAAGCGUUAAUCGGAAUUACUGGGCGUAAAGCGUGCGUAGGCGGUUCGUUAAGUCUGUUGUGAAAGCCCCGGGCUCAACCUGGGAAUGGCAAUGGAUACUGGCGAGCUAGAGUGUGUCAGAGGAUGGUGGAAUUCCCGGUGUAGCGGCGAAAUGCGUAAAGAUCGGGAGGUACAUCAACGGCGAAGGCGGCCAUCUGGGACAACACUGACGCUCAGGCACGAAAGCGUGGGGAGCAAACAGGAUUAAAUACCCUGGUAGUCCACGCCCUAAACGAUGCCAACUGGAUGUUGGUCUCAACUCGGAGAUCACUGUCGAAGCUAACGCGUUAAGUUCGCCGCCUGGGGAGUACGGUCGCAAGACUGAAACUCCGAGGAAUUGACGGGGGCCCGCACAAGCGGUGGAGUAUGUGGUUUAAUUCGAUGCCACGCGAAGAAACUUACAUGGACUUGACAUG
rnacentral:rRNA from 1 species